rnacentral:rRNA from 1 species
GGAUUCCCCUAGUAACUGCGAGUGAAGCGGGAGGAGCUCAAAUUUCGAAUCUGACAGUCCCUCGGGGCCGUCCGAGUUGUAAUCUAGAGAAGCGUCUUCCAGCGCCGGCCCGUGUACAAGUCUCCUGGAACGGAGCAUCAUGGAGGGUGAGAAUCCCGUCCUUGACACGCACCCCGGUGCACUGCGAUGCGCUCUCGACGAGUCGAGUUGUUUGGGAAUGCAGCUCAAAACGGGUGGUAGACUCCAUCUAAAGCUAAAUACGGGCGAGAGACCGAUAGCGAACAAGUACCGUGAGGGAAAGAUGAAAAGAACUUUGGAAAGAGAGCGAAACAGUACGUGAAAUUGCUGAAAGGGAAACGCUCGGCGUCAGUCGCGUCGUCCGGGGAUCAGCCUUGCUUUCGCUGGCGUACUUCCCGGGGGACGGGUCAGCAUCGGUCUCGCUCGGCGUACAAGGCCGGAGGGAACGUGGCACUCUCCGGGGUGUGUUAUAGCCUUCCGCCGGAUGCGUCGUCCGGGACCGAGGGACUCGGCACGGCCUCCCAUGGCCUGUGUCCAGGAUGCUGGCAUAAUGGCUUCGAGCGACCCGUCUUGAAACACGGACCAAGGAGUCCAACAUGUCUGCGAGUGUUUGGGUGGAAAACCCCGAGCGCGCAGCGAAAGCGAAUCAGCUCGGUCGGGACCCUCGUCGCGGGGGGCACCGACGCCCGGACCGGAGUCUGUGACGACGGAUCCGCGGUAGAGCAUGCAUGUUGGGACCCGAAAGAUGGUGAACUAUGCCUGAACAGGGCGAAGCCAGAGGAAACUCUGGUGGAGGCUCGCAGCGAUUCUGACGUGCAAAUCGAUCGUCGAAUUUGGGCAUAGGGGCGAAAGAC